CUCCUCAUCACCUAGAACUUUGGUUGAUUGAAGUUUUGAGAGCAGAGGGCUUGAAGCAUCAGCCCCUGACUAUCACCACUGCAGUGCCUAAAAGCAAUGUUAUGGGGUAUGAAACAAAUGCCCAGCACGUGCAUUUGUGGCUAUUUGGAAGGCAAAUUUCAGGAAUGGGGAGAAGGGAGGAUUUUCAUAUUUGUAGACCAGAAUCAUUGGACUUGAUUCAGACCUUGCAUUCACAGGCUUUGUGCUGGACCAUCAGCACGAACACCCAGUUCUCACAUUAUGCAGACUGUGGGACCUAUUCCUUUGGGGAUGAGG